rnacentral:lncRNA from 1 species
UAUAAUAUACUAGUGCUUGUCCUAGAGCCGCCAUUGCUGCUCUACAUUUCUUCUCCCGGCGAAAUCUGAUUUGUAAGUUCCCCUUUUCAUCUGUCUUUAUAUUUCCUAUUAAUCUCUUAUCCUCACUUUGAAUUGUCAAUUUCAGAAACUGUGAAAUGGGUUGUAAUUUUCUGUGUGUUUGCUCUCACUGCAUAAAUGAAACAUGAACUCCAAAACUUGAUACUAUCUUGUGAAUUUUACAAUCUAAUAUGCUCUGUUGUUCGCUUUCUCGUGAUAAUGGCUGGCAGUUAUGAUCUCUCUUCUUUCUUUUUCCGGAAAUUAGUAAUAUUUUCUACAUAUAUUCUCUUAGAAGAAGGAAAAGAGAGAAAAGAAAAGCCGCAAAUAUGACUUUUUCUUACAAUGGCGUGCCCCGGCCAGCUUGCGUUAGCACAGAGGCAAAGCCAGGAUUUCAAACUUAUGAAUUCUAAAUAAAUUAUUUUUACAUAUUCGGUAGAUUUUUGUAAGACAAAUACAGAGUUCGAACCAAAGCAACUGGUUUCAGUCGAACCCGCUCCCUGCAAUCUAGCCCCGCCCCUGGUCACACAUAGACUAUUACACUGCUAUCUCCGACAAGAAUAGGCGCUGAUAAAAUAUGAAAUACUUAAGUAAAAUAUGAAAUACUUAAGACUUAGUUUUGAGUUUUCGGCUCUUCUGUGAGAGUCAUAAAUUUUAUUAUUAGAGUAAUUAUUCAGCUACAAAGAUGAAUAGAUACUAUAUUACAUUGAUGAAUAUCUAAUAUAGAUAUGUGUACUUUUCUUUUAGCAAAUUUUGGGGUACUUUGAAGAAUCUGAACAAAGUACAUAUGCACGACGUUUUGACACGGUAAAUGAUCCAUGUAAUAUAACUAGUUAUUGGAGUGUGAUUGGAUCGUCUGUCCAGUGUUAUAAAGGAUAAACAUAUCACUGUAGAACAUCAUCCUUAUUUCCCUACUCAAUAAGUUAAAUGGGGUACUGCAUCUGAAACUACUAAUUUGGUGGAGAGUGCAUCAUCUUUUGCUCGUCAUAGACUUGAUAUUCGGAGAACCAGGAGAUAUUUGGAUCUAUAUUUUGAAGAGUUAAUCCUUAUAUGUGCCCAUGUCAAUUAAAAAACCUUGAUUUUGUUUAUUCAUCUAUUAACUGCUUCUCAAUUAAGGGAAUAUUUUGUCAAGACAUAAGUGUGAAAGUGAAUUUAUUUCCUAAAUUUCGAACCAUUAUGUACUCGUUAGAUUGUUUGGAUACAACUAUACAUCACACACAUGAUUUUUUAUAUUCACAUGUCAUUCCUCUGUGAAGAGCUAGUUGGAUCUGGUGUCUGCGCCAAGAACUACAGAAAGACUAUUCAGUUCUAGGAAUUAUAAGAAAAACGGAUGCUGAUUAAAUUGAUCCAAGAAUAGAUCUCAUUAUCGGUAUCCUUCUUUAUAUGAUGAAUCCUCAAUAGAGCUACUUCCAUCUUUUACUUCGGAACUUUUGAUUCUCCACAAAUCUGAAAGCAACAAUAUAGGUGGAAGACCUCAUUCUUCGUUAUGCUUGUUGCUAUCCUUCUAGUUUCUCAUCUUCAAUUUCUCACAUCUUAAUCACAUAUUCGGUUCUUGAGGGUUGUUACCUAGUAGUCGAUGAAGUGGGAGGACAAUCGUGAAGUCUCAAGUUCAAAUCUCUAGAGAAGCAAAGAACACACCAGGUGAUUUCUUCAUAUAUGCCUAACCCUUGGUGGGAAGAGUUACUUGUGCUGGUGGGAAGUAGCAGAUACCUGGUGAAAUAGUCGAUUUGCGCAUAAGCUGGACCGGGCAACAUUGUCAUCAAAAAAGAAAAGUUUCCAACUUAUAGUCUUGUAGCCCCUUUCUCUAUGUUCCAGAAACUUUUCCUUUAGCUACUUUUAUUUGGCAGGUAAUGGCAGUAUUUGGUUAGCGAAGUAUUUUAUUUUGCAUCUUUUGUGAACAUGCUCAUUCUUUACCACAACUUGAAGAGAUUAAAGUGAGUAUUGUAUGAUUUUUUUGUCUUUGUUUUUCCCAAGAUUAUUUUGUAAAUGACAUGGAAGCAUAAAAAAAUGUGUACAUUCAAAAGAGAAGAUAGUGGAGAGAAGGAAGGUGUUGCAUCAACUCUCUCACCAACACUAGAUCUUGCAAACAAUUUUCCUCCUAGAAAGCCAGAGCAGAUUAACUUACUUUAAGUUUGCAAACAAUGUUCGCUCUCACUGCAUGAAUGAACCAUAGACUCCAAAAUUUGACACUAUUUUGUGAAUAUCACAAUCUAAUAUGCUCUAUUAUGUGCUUUCUCAUGAUAAUAGCUGCAAGGUAGUAAAUUUUUUCCCAGGAAAGUAUUUAUCUUUCUACAUAUAUUUCUUUUAGAAGAAGGAAAAAGUAGAAAAAGGCCACAAUUAUGACUUUUAAAUAAUGGUGUGUCCCGGACAGCUUGCACCACACAUAACUAUUACACUGCUAGCUCCCACAAGUGUAGGUGUCGAAAAUAUGAAAAUUUUCUGACUUUGUUACAAUUUUUCAGUUCUUUUAUGAGAGUCUUAGAAUUUGUUAUUAGGGUAAUCAUUCAGCUACAAAGAUGAAUAGUUACUAUAUUACAUUGAUGGGUAUCCAUAGAGGUAUGUGUACUUUUACUUUUGCCAAUUUUGGGGUACUUUAAAGAUUCUGAACAAAGUACCUAUACAUGCCUCUUUGACACAGUAAACGAUCCAUGUAACGUAACUAGUUACAGAAGUCUGAUUGGAUCGUAUGUCCAGUUCUUCAAAGGAUAAUUAUUUCAUGAUAGAACAUAAUGGAUAUUUCCAUUAGUCAAUAAGUUAAAUUGGUCACUGGAUCUGAAUCUACUAAUUUACUGGAGAGUGUCAUAUUUUGUUCUUCAUAGACUUGAUUUUCAGAAAAGCAGAAAAUAUUUGGAUUUAUAUUUUCAAGAUUAAUUAAUCCUCAUAUGUGCCAGUGUCAGUUACAAACCUUGAUUUUGGUUUUCAUCUAUCGAUAUUUGGAUUUAUAUUUUCAAGAGUCCUUAUAUGUGCCAAUGUCAAUUAAAAACCUUGAUUUUGUUUUUCAUCUAUCAACCUUAAUUGUUAGAUUUCGAUACAACUAUAUAUGCCACAUGAUGUUUUGUAGUCAUGUGGUUCAUAUACGAAUAACUAGUUGGAUCUGGUGUCAAUGCCAAGAACGACAGAAACACUAUUCGGUUCUGGGAAUUUUAAGAAAAAAAUGGAUGUGGAAUAAAUUGAUCCGAGAAUACAUCCAUUUAUCGGUAUCCUUCUUUAUAUGAUGAAUCCUCAAUAGAGCUACUGCCAUCUUUUACUCCGGAACUUUUGAUUCUUCACUAUUCUGAAAGCAAUUAUAUAGGUGGAAGACCUCAUUCUUAGUUAUGCUCAUUGCUCUCCUUCUAGUUUCACAUGUUCUUCUGUUUUUCACAUCUUAAACUCACAUUCAGUUUUUGAGGGUUCCACCAUGCACCCAAGGGUAUUACCUAGUGGUCAAUGACGGGGGAGGACAAUCGUGAGGUCUCAAGUUCAAAACCCAGUAGAAGCAAAGAAACACUAGGUGAUUCCUUCACAUCAGCCUAACCCUUGGUGGGAAGAGUUACCCAAUAUUUGGAGGGCUGCAUUAACUCUUUAUUCAUAUUAGUAUUUUCCACUCUCUCUCUCCUCUCUCUCACGCAACAGUAACAUCCACCAAGCCCUCCCCAGCCCCCNNNNNNNNNNNNNNNNNNNNNNNNNNNNNNNNNNNNNNNNNNNNNNNNNNNNNNNNNNNNNNNNNNNNNNNNNNNNNNNNNNNNNNNNNNNNNNNNNNCCCCCCAGACCCCCCUAAGUAAGUUCUCUCUCUUCUGUCUCUCUCCUCUCUCUCUCCUCUAUCUUCAUUACCCAGCCCUCACCCCCUACCCCCUGCCAACCCUAACUCCGGCGACCCGCCAGUACGGUACCUCUCCCCUCUUUCUCCUCUCUCCACACAUUCUCUUCUCUAUUCCCCUUCUCUCACGCCCUUGCCCCCUACCCCACCCCUUUUUUUGUGACUUUCAGGCAACCCCUCUCCUUUCCCGAGCUAGGUAUCCCCCCUCACCUUUUUUGGGGUUUGUUGUGCGCUUGAUUUUCAGGUACAAGCCGCGGCAGACAAGGCGAGCUUGCGGCAUUUUGACGCGAAGAGCAAAGCAACACCGGACGAAAUGUGCAAAAGCUAGCGGUAGUUGAUAUCGGGCGAAUCAAAGCAUACUUCCAGGUUUUUCCAUCAGUAGUUGGUACCUCCCGACCUCCUUUUUUACUCUGUACACUCUUUACAUUUUCUAUCUAAGCACCAUGUGUGUGGUUUACUUUGUUGAUUCCUAGCUUGCAUCCUUUUGCAUAUUCCGC